GCAAACUUGGUCAUUUAGAGGAAGUAAAAGUCGUAACAAGGUCUCCGUUGGUGAACCAGCGGAGGGAUCAUUGCCGAGUCCCAGCGGCUCCCAAACCACACGAACCUACCACAUCGUCGCCUCGGCGGGCAGCUCCAGGGCGGAGCCCGCGCCCCCCGGGGGGGGGUGCCCGCCGGAGGCCCCAGAAACCUGUCGCAUCUCGGGCCCUCUGAGUCGAACGCGCGCGAGCGCGGCUGGUCACAACCUUCAACAAUGGAUCUCUUGGCUCCGGCAUCGAUGAAGAACGCAGC
rnacentral:misc_RNA from 1 species